UAGGGAAUAUUGGUCAAUGGGCGAAAGCCUGAACCAGCGACGCCGUGUGAAGGAUGAAGGCCUUCGGGUUGUAAACUUCUGUCAACUGGGGCGAAGUGUAGCAGAAUAAUAAGCUGCUACUUGACAGUACCAGUGAAGGAAGCACCGGCUAACUCCGUGCCAGCAGCCGCGGUAAUACGGAGGGUGCAAGCAUUAAUCGGAUUUAUUGGGCGUAAAGGGCGCGUAGGCGGCCACGUAAGUCAGGUGUGAAAUACCGAAGCUCAACUUCGGUGCUGCGCUUGAAACUACGAGGCUUGAGGAUCGGAGGAGAAAUUGGAAUUCCACGUGUAGCGGUGAAAUGCGUAGAUAUGUGGAAGAACACCUGUGGCGAAAGCGGAUUUCUAUCUGACACCUGACGCUGAGGCGCGAGAGCGUGGGGAUCAAACAGGAUUAGAUACCCCGGUAGUCC
rnacentral:rRNA from 1 species